rfam:Triticum aestivum genome assembly, contig: Triticum_aestivum_CS42_TGACv1_scaffold_578619_7BL
AAAAUACUCCCUCCAUCUGAAAAUACUUGUCGUAAAAGUAGAUACAAAUAGAUGUAUCUAAAACUAAAAUACAUCUUGAUACAUCCACUCCUCGGACAAGUAUUUUCAGACGAAGAGAGUAAGAG